rnacentral:rRNA from 1 species
GACGAACGCUGGCGGCGUGCUUAACACAUGCAAGUCGAACGGAAAGGCCCUGCUUUUGUGGGGUGCUCGAGUGGCGAACGGGUGAGUAACACGUGAGUAACCUGCCCUUGACUUUGGGAUAACUUCAGGAGACUGGGGCUAAUACCGGAUAGGAGCUCCUGCUGCAUGGUGGGGGUUGGAAAGUUACGGCGGUUGGGGAUGGACUCGCGGCUUAUCAGCUUGUUGGUGGGGUAGUGGCUUACCAAGGCUUUGACGGGUAGCCGGCCUGAGAGGGUGACCGGCCACAUUGGGACUGAGAUACGGCCCAGACUCCUACGGGAGGCAGCAGUGGGGAAUAUUGCACAAUGGGCGGAAGCCUGAUGCAGCAACGCCGCGUGCGGGAUGACGGCCUUCGGGUUGUAAACCGCUUUCGCCUGUGACGAAGCGUGAGUGACGGUAAUGGGUAAAGAAGCACCGGCUAACUACGUG